GAAGAAAUGAGGGAUGGUGAACUCAGAGGGCAAAGGAGAAAUAAGGAACUUGGUCCAGACAACCAGGUGCUUGCUCAACAAGACCAGCGCUCGCCCACCCGCCCGGGGACCAGCCUGCGGCGGCCUGCAGGAGCACGAGGCCGAGGUGGAGAAUCCGUGCAGCGGGCCCCGCGCCAUGUACAGCCCCGGCACGUCCACAGAGCCCCAGGAACCAUCAAGGGACUCCCGUCUCAGCAGCUGGGGACACGCCUGUAAGUGUGCAGUGUUCCAGUCAACUAAAUGGACUUGCCUUCAGCCAGGAGGGAGCCAGUUCUGCAGGACAGAACUAAUAUUGGGUCUCCCAGGAAGCUCUUCAUCAAAACAGCCCUUGUCCUUUUGUUUUUGUUUCUGAAUUAAAAAGAUGCCUUUGCCUUCCUCUCCGUAUUCACCCCCUGAUUUUGUAGCCACAAUGAAAAGUGGAAAUCAGUUCUGUUCUUUAUAUCCUCUGUUGUCGUCUCAUUUUGGGGGCCUCAGGAAGCUCCAAACCCACCUCGGUGUGUCCUGUGCUUCUGAUCUUUACUCACUACUCCCUGGGUCACCCGGAGACUCACACUUGGUUCUUCCUCCCCUUGGGUAUCACCUCUCUCCUAAAGGAUGCUCCUCUCCCAGUUCGCUGGGGAAGGAGCUCUCUUAGAGAAAGCAUCCCCAGUUAAUGAAGACCAGGGAUAAGAAAACAGAACCA
ensembl:lncRNA